rnacentral:rRNA from 1 species
CAACCGUAAAAUUGCAGUUGAUACUGGCGACCUUGAGUGCAACAGAGGUAGGCGGAAUUCGUGGUGUAGCGGUGAAAUGCUUAGAUAUCACGAAGAACUCCGAUUGCGAAGGCAGCUUACUGGAUUGUAACUGACGCUGAUGCUCGAAAGUGUGGGUAUCAAACAGGAUUAGAUACCCUGGUAGUCCACACAGUAAACGAUGAAUACUCGCUGUUGGCGAUAUACGGUCAGCGGCCAAGCGAAAGCAUUAAGUAUUCCACCUGGGGAGUACGCCGGCAACGGUGAAACUCAAAGGAAUUGACGGGGGCCCGCACAAGCGGAGGAACAUGUGGUUUAAUUCGAUGAUACGCGAGGAACCUUACCCGGGCUUAAAUUGCAACUGACUGAAUCGGAAACGGUUCUUUCUUCGGACAGUUGUGAAGGUGCUGCAUGGUUGUCGUCAGCUCGUGCCGUGAGGUGUCGGCUUAAGUGCCAUAACGAGCGCAACCCUUACGGGUAGUUACCAUCAGGUUAUGCUGGGGACUCUACCCGGACUGCCGUCGUAAGAUGUGAGGAAGGUGGGGAUGACGUCAAAUCAGCACGGCCCUUACGUCCGGGGCUACACACGUGUUACAAUGGGGGGUACAGAAGGCAGCUACACGGCGACGUGGUGCUAAUCCCGAAAGCCU